rnacentral:rRNA from 1 species
UACGUAGGGGGCAAGCGUUGUCCGGAAUCAUUGGGCGUAAAGAGCGUGUAGGCGGCCCGAUAAGUCCGCUGUGAAAGUCCAGGGCUCAACCCUGGGAUGCCGGUGGAUACUGUCGGGCUCGAGUCCGGAAGAGGAGUGUGGAAUUCCUGGUGUAGCGGUGAAAUGCGCAGAUAUCUGGAGGAACACCGGUGGCGAAGGCGGCAUCCUGGACCAAUUCUGACGCUGAGGAGCGAAAGCCAGGGGAGCAAACGGG